rnacentral:rRNA from 1 species
ACAGGUGAGUCACACCAGGUUAACCUAAAUAUAAGACUGGGAUAACUCCGGGAAACCGGGGCUAAUGCCGGAUAAUAUUUAGAACCGCAUGGUUCUAAAGUGAAAGAUGGUUUUGCUAUCACUUAUAGAUGGACCCGCGCCGUAUUAGCUAGUUGGUGGGGUAAUGGCUUACCAAGGCAACGAUACGUAGCCGACCUGAGAGGGUGAUCGGCCACACUGGAACUGAGACACGGUCCAGACUCCUACGGGAGGCAGCAGUAGGGAAUCUUCCGCAAUGGGCGAAAGCCUGACGGAGCAACGCCGCGUGAGUGAUGAAGGUCUUCGGAUCGUAAAACUCUGUUAUUAGGGAAGAACAAAUGUGUAAGUAACUGUGCACGUCUUGACGGUACCUAAUCAGAAAGCCACGGCUAACUACGUGCCAGCAGCCGCGGUAAUACGUAGGUGGCAAGCGUUAUCCGGAAUUAUUGGGCGUAAAGCGCGCGUAGGCGGUUUCUUAAGUCUGAUGUGAAAGCCCACGGCUCAACCGUGGAGGGUCAUUGGAAACUGGGAAACUUGAGUGCAGAAGAGGAAAGUGGAAUUCCAUGUGUAGCGGUGAAAUGCGCAGAGAUAUGGAGGAACACCAGUGGCGAAGGCGACUUUCUGGUCUGUAACUGACGCUGAUGUGCGAAAGCGUGGGGAUCAAACAGGAUUAGAUACCCUGGUAGUCCACGCCGUAAACGAUGAGUGCUAAGUGUUAGGGGGUUUCCGCCCCUUAGUGCUGCAGCUAACGCAUUAAGCACUCCGCCUGGGGAGUACAACCGCAAGGUUGAAACUCAAAGGAAUUGACGGGGACCCGCACAAUCGGUGGAGCAUGUGGUUUAAUUCGAAGCAACGCGAAGAACCUUACCAAAUCUUGACAUCCUUUGACAACUCUAGAGAUAGAGUCUUCCCCUUCGGGGGACAAAGUGACAGGUGGUGCAUGGUUGUCUUCAUCUCGGGUCGGGAAAUGUUGGGUUAAGUCCCGCAACGAGCGCAACCCUUAAGCUUAUUUGCCAACCUUAAAUUGGGGCCCUCCAAGUUGGACGGCCGGUGACAAACCGGAAGGAAGGGGGGGAUGACGUCAAACCCCCAGGCCCCUUAUGAUUUGGGGUAACCCCCUGGCUUCAAUGGGAAAUUUCUAAAGGGGUAUUAAACCCGUCGGGAUGGCAAAUUCCCUAAAAUUUGUUC